ACAUAAGUUUCUCAAAGCGGUAGGUCAAUACUGUCCCCCUUUCACCCGAAAAUAUUUUGGGGGUAGGAAGGUGCAUGGGGUAGGAAGGUGUGAAGCUUAAGCACAUUGAAGCUUAAGCACUGCUUUAUUUAAUUAACCCUUUCCCCGCUGAAGCCGUCUUUUUCCGGCCGCACUUGUCCAUGCUAGCGCUGUAGGUACCAGCACAUGCUGCUCUUUCACAUGGUAUCUUUAAUAUCUUGCCUCGAGGUACGCUUCGCACGAAAGAAAAGUGACCGCAUGUGACUAAUUGAUAAUGGCUUAGUGCAACCUCAGUGAGGUUCUAGGGCAGCUAGACAGUGAGGAGAACAAUGCCUUGUUGAGUGAGAGGACAGUGACUGGGAUCAUAGCUAGAUAAGAAACUACCUCAAGCUAGAAAAUAUAGAGCCUGAAGAACCUAAGCUCUUGGGAUCGACUAAGUUCCUGGGUCUAGAGUAGCUUUUUGAUAGCUUCAGUAUAACUGUAUUUAGGCAGUGGACAUCAUGAGCCACCAUUGAACUUGUAGAAGAAAACAUUUCCCGGGAAAAUGGCGUCUGCCGAUGUGACCUCACAGACAAGUUUCUGCUUGAACCAUGUCUCCUUGAAAACACGGCCUUCAUACAAUAUUGUUUGUGUACAUAAUUGUAAAUGUUUGUAAACAAUCGCUAAUUAGGGGGGUGGUCAGUUGCUAGGUAACGAUGAUGGUGUCAAGAUACCUCUGGGGUCUGCGCUACCUAUAGGAAAUAUUUACAAGUCAUUUCAAUGUAUGGUUCAUGAUAUUAUAUGAAUUUUUAAAGAAAAACUGUAUUUAUUCUGUAUUUUCUUUUUUUAAUUAAAACGGGGAAAGGGUUAAGCAAUAAAGCAAUAAAAUACAAUUAAUUAGUUUGCUCCAUAAGGGUAGGCCCUGUCACUAUUAUUGGCUUCAGUUUCGCAAUAUAAAAGUUUGAUAACAUUCUGUUGAAUGUGGAACUCCAUCAUUUCUAAUCGCAAAAAAAGAGAAGCAAGCAUAACAGAACUAGGGAUUUCCCUCCCUGACCAUCUUCCUAGCGGACAUUUUGAGUUUGUUCCUCUUUUAACAAAUCCCCGUUGUAUAUGGGUCUAGUGAAGUACAUAUCUGGAGACAGAGAUCAUCCAACUGUGCGAAGGAGUCCCAUUCAAAUCCGAAUCUGGUAUGAAAGAGAAGACCCAGUACACAUUUUGAAGCGGAUGUAUUAUGUAGCGGAUGGCUGGACUCUUAUCCUGCAUUAGUAGGAAUGAACGAAUGUUUUCCUUGCCCCUUGCGGAUUUUAUGGAUGGAAAAGGCUUGGAAAAGGCUGCAGGCGGAAUACAUUUCGUGCUGUGAAUCCUUGGCGAUGGUUGGCGAAGAGCUCCUCAAUUACAUUUUGGAUGACUUGAUGCCAUGGCACUAUGACUAUGGAAGUAAAUAGAGUUCAGGCUAUUGACAGCCAUCGGAGAAUCCACGAGCAAGUACCACAGAUGACGUGGAACAGCGUGGCAAGAGAUGUUGUUGGAAAAAACUUUACACUGAAGCAAGUUCAAUUGGCCUGGAGGAAGAUAUGCUUGCUUGGAAUUUGAGAAAAGGGUUACUAUUUCACCUCGAGUCAUGAGGUUUUAUGGACCAAGUUUUGAAGAUAAACCGAAUAAACCGAAGAAAGCAAAAGUCCGAGUCAAGUGUUGUAUUCAAGCGAUCAUUAAAUAUCAGAGCAGUCUCCUGCUGUUAAUCCAGCGUCAGGUACAGUAAUAGCAUCUCCAUAACUCGUGUUUCAAUUAAUGUUGACAGUGAAAUUUCUAGCCAAAAAAGUAUAAAAGUAUAAUUAAAUUUUUAAUUAUGAAAAAGUGUGUUUAACUUUCCUUAACCCUUUCCCGGCUUUAGCUGACGGCAGCGGUAGUGAUAAUUUUCAAAAAAUCUGGGCGCUGUGUUGGAGCUAUGCCCACGCAGCUCUUUCACGUGGUAUCUGUUUAAUAUCUUGCCUCGAGGUACGCAAUACUGUCGAAAGAAAAGUGACCGUUUGAUAAUGGCUACAAGAUCUUUGUAGUACAACCUUCUAGGGCAGCUAGACAGUGAGAAUGGCUAGACAGUGAGAACAACGAUGCUUAUGGCUGUAGUACUCUUAUGGCUGUAGUACUUCAGAGGUAUGCGUAUGAUUAUAGCGAUGCUGCUUGUACAUGGUGCUCUUAGCUACGUAGUGUACUGGCUCCAGCAGUGUGUUGAAGUGAAUACAGAAGCCGGGGUGAUUUGCUUAGCUAUCUGCUGGUCUCAUCCACAAUGUAUUCUCUGUGAUGAAUGCAGCUGUGAUGGAC